ensembl:lncRNA
CUUUUUAAGUCGCGUUUUGAAACCUGUGUUGUAAAUGAGGUGGUAUUUAUACCACUCACUAUAACACAUCCUAAUAGAGCCGCACUAUAUCUGUAGCUAUAUAGGCAACCUUACCUAUGAAGUCCACUUCACUGUCCUACUAUCUGAAAUUACACUACGCUUUUUUUUUUCAAGCGCGCCCACGAAUACGCGUUCACGUUUGGCAGCUCCACGUCGACAUUCUUCCAGCUGCAGACUGAACUGCACAGAGCUGAAAUAAGAGGUAAAAACGAUAUGAAGGCACUUCGAACACUGUUUGGAGCCUCCAGAGGGACGACCACCGCGAAAUAAGAAUCGGGGAAACUCCUGUUUGAUUUGAUAGUUAGCCCUGCAACAAUUGCAGAUAGGCCACUGUUUUUGGCGUUUUAUGAUCUGUUUGCCCUCGUGCUGGAUUGCAGCUGGCCCCCUUUAACAGUGCUCACUUUCUACCAGGUGAAGAUUUGGCGAAAAGGGUUGGCACAAAGGAAUAGCCUACUAUGUGGCACCGUGGCUUUCCAAGUAAAGUUCUGUGAUACACUUCGACUCUUAAUUGUUUGCAGUCAGUGCAUUACAGAACUUUGUUUUGGGAGUUAAUGCUCUGGCCUGAGGGACACAAACCUACCAUCUGGAGAAUAGGGAUAAUUUAUUCCACAACAUGCCACUUAUAGAGUACAAUAUGCAGACACCUUGUCAAAUGUUUUCUCCAUGAAUAAAGUUUUGACAAUGCCUUGCCUCGUGAGUUUUAACCUACGUGUGAAAGAAUUUCUCUGCUUCUUUACUUUGGUGUGUAUUAGAUGUUGGUAUUAGAGUGAAAUAAUUGUCUGAACUUUGUUGGAAAAGUGCCAGAAAGCUGUGGUUGACUGUUCUAUAAUUUCUUAUAAGACAACAUAUACAUUUAGAAGCCAUAUGGAAACUCCAGAAUUCACUCAUGCUUCACUUUCACUUGGCAACGUGAUUCAUGGAGGUUAGAGAGAAAGUUGUUACUGAUCUGGGUUAUAUGUCGUAAAACAUUGGAUGUAUUCCUGUAAGAAAUUGCCUAAUUGUAUCACAUCAACUAACAUUAAUCAAUAUCCCAGGUAGUACUUAUACCAAAAUGUUGUGCUUUUUCUAUUGACUAUUGGCAUUGUUUCAUGUGAAUGGUGCAUAAAUGUAUGUCCUGUCAAAUUGCUCAUAUAUGGCAAGAAUGAAUUAAACAAUUUCAGAGACAUGAGGCAAAUCGGAUGGACAAGCUAACUCAGGGCUCAACAGUAACUUUUUUUUUUUACAAGGAGCAUGUGUACACAAAUAAAUGUGGAAUAGGAUCUAAGGAUUAAAUGUUCUUCUCUGUGCUCUAGACUGUCAAAGCAUUAGAAUAUGAUAAUAGUUCUAUCAAAUUAAAGAUGCAGCCUGGGACUUUAGCAAUUAAGAAAAUCCUUUUUUUACCUCCCAUUUCAGGUUGGAUGUGAAAUGUGUUGUUCAUAUGUGCAUUAUCUGUAAUUAAGAUUACUAUCAUACCUCAGUUAGCCAUUUAAUUUGAAGUUUGAAAGCAAGUGUUGAUGUCUUGGGCCAAAUAUUGGGCGCGUACAUGACGC